ensembl:lncRNA
GGUGGAUAUCGCGGAGCUUCCACAGAUUCAGUAACAUUAGCAAGUGGUGGAAGCCAGCAGGUGGAUGAAGGAAAAGGGAGGCAAGAGGAGAGACCCGAAGCGGCCGCCGGUCCGCGUGUCAGGUGAACUGAACUUCAGGACUCGUGAAUCUCAGCCCAGCAGCAGCGGUAACGUUUGCACGUCCUCUCCCGUUAAUGCGGCAGGUGACCAUGAUGAGACAGACAGAGUCUGGCUGGCAGUUCUCGCUGCAGUCUACCGGUAGCGUCUCCUUUCAGGCCAGGAUAGACGAAUGUCACCGAGCAGUGACUAAGUUUGUGGUCAAAGGCUUGCACCCAUUUGCCACAGCAGAUGCCCCGAUUUUCAGCGGUAAACAUGUGUACACAUCUAAACACGUGAAACUCAGAUACUUGUCUGGAAAACUGAAACUGAAAGCAGAGUGGUGGAGUGGAAGUGUGCUAGGCCCAUCAUCCAGCGGCUGAAGGACCACAGUCAUACUGCCAGUAAUGUUUCAUGUAGACAAUGUUGGUAUUGGGCAUGCUCACAGUGAUGGCAGCAAAUAUUUGCGUCCUGAUGAAUUAAAUUAAUAUUAUAAAAUCUAUUUGUUUGACUGAUAAUUAUGCGUACUUGUUUCAAAAAGGGGAUCAGGAAGGAAGACUUUCACAGUGCUUUAUUUGGACAGAUAGUAGAGUUUGGAAGCUUCGUUCAACAUUAAAAAGACACAAAAACACAAUAUUCAACCCAACCACAGGGAAUAUCUGUGGAUGUUUGAGAAGAGGAAGAGAACGUGUUUGUGAUUACUCU